GUUGGUGUAGCUCAGUGGUAGAGUGCAUGCUUUGUAUGUGUGAUGUCUUGGGUUCAAUCCCCAGCUUCACCC